UUAAUUGGAUAAAUUAAACAUGGACGAAUAGACGUGAGUCAAUGUCGAAACUCGCCACCUUCCGUAGAGGAUUUUCUUGAUUUUCGUACUGUUUCUGACGCUUCCUGCCACAAUGUCUGAUCUAGACGUGUCUUCCUUUUCCCUGGAAGACCUGAAGGUAGAGAUCGGACGACUGCAGCAGGAAUUAACGGAAACGAACCAAGAAAAGAUCCGAGCCGCGGAGUACGGAUUGGCCGUUCUAGAAGAACGGAAUCAUUUGGAAUCCAAGAUUGAGGAGCUUGAUGCUCAAGUCGAAGCUCUAAAGAUAGAGUUGGAACAUGCUAAGGAGGCUCUUAGCAAACACCAAGUGACAUUUCGGAAACAAAAUGAGAGUGGUAAUAAUUUGGAGGACAGCAUCAUUCAAGAGUCAGCCUCACGUGAAGACGGAUAUAGGGAGAACAUCACAGAACUUGAAUCAGAGCUUAAAAAUGUCAAACAAAACAAAGAGCGACUUUUCUCUGAGCAUGCCACUAUGGCCAGUUUGGUUUCUGAUUUGCAAACAAAGGUUGACCAGCUUGAAGAUCAGAGGCGACAGCUUAAAAGUGAACUAAAGGAGUUUAAGAUCAGAGAAAAUAGAAAUAUGAUCGACUAUUCAGAGUUAGAAGAGGAAAAUAUAACUCUUCAAAAGCAGGUCUUGGUUCUAAAACAAAGUCAGGUUGAGUAUGAGGGUUUGAAGCAUGAAAAGAAAAGGCUUGAAGAAGAACUUGAUGAUUUGAACAUGCAGCUAGAUGAAAGUGUUUCAUUGAAAAAGAUUGUUGAUAAAAACCUUGAGGAAGCGUUGAAUGCCUUGCAAGUUGAACGGGAGCAAAAACAUGCAUUGAAAAAAGAGUUAGAUACAAGACUGACACAGGAAUCGAUGUUCAAUUUGAGUAAUUUGGCUCAAUUAGGCGGCCUCAGUGAUGGACUUCGCUUGAACAGUCAUGAUGAUCAUGACAUGGACGAUGACAGCCAUCACCCGACUCUGAAACGAGUGGAAGCUGAUAUGGAAAGCAAGGAUAAAAGUGGUCAGUCGACUAGGAAAGGACCUGGAAAAGUAAAUGACAUCCUUAGUGAAAUUCAGCAAAAUGAAGUUAAGAAAUUAGAGCAAUUGCUUGAACAGAGUGAAGAAGAGAAGUCAGAGAUGCAAAGGGCGCUUGAUGAAGCCAAGAAGCUCAUUGAAGACACACAAAAAGAUCUGAUUGAGCAGAAAGAUCGGGCAAAUCAGUUGAAAUCUCAGAUAUCAAAUGCUCUUGGUGUAAAUGGUAGCCUACCUUCCCCUGAAAGUGAUGUAGCUGAAUUUUUUGAUAAAAAAAUUGCAGAGGAAUCUGAUCAAGAAAAAAAGGCACUGUUAGAACUGAAAAAGAAUCUUUUGUUAAAUGAAAAUAAGUAUUCAACCGCUUUAAAACAAAUCGGAGACUUGCAGACUGAAAUCAGUAAACUGAUGGAGAAAAAUAUUCAAGGUAACUUCACUCCAGGUGAUCCUAAGGUAACUGAAAGUCUCACUCUGCUUCAGUCCAAAUGUAAACAGUAUGAAGAUGCAAUCAAAGAAAUGGAUAGAGACUUGAGGGUCUUCUCUAAAAUAGCUGGUGAAUCUCAGAGUUCUUUGAAUACAACUCAAGAUGAAAUGGUUAAAGUAACAGAAGAACUUGCACAGUUAUAUCAUCUUGUUUGUGAAGUUAGUGGAGAAACACCAAGUAGAGUAAUGUUGCAACAUGCCAAAGCUAUUGAUAAAAUUACUAAACCAGAUUCUAGGGAUGGUAGCGAAGAAGCAGAUGAAGAAGGCACUUCUCCUGAGAAAGAUUCUGUCUCAGGUAAGAAGAAGAAGUCAAAAGCAAAGAAAACUUCAUUAGAAAUUUUGGAUAACACAUUGAAGGCUGAUGCUAGUUCAUGUUCAAAAUUGACCGAAACCAUUCUAGAUCAAACUAAACAUCUGAAGAAGUCUGUUGAACAUUUAAUGGAAGUCUCAAGAAACAGGACUGAUGAUAGUGAGCAGUCUGAUGUCCAGGAGUUGCAAGAACAGAUUGUGAAAUUAAAGGCAAUGUUGUCAACCAAACGAGAACAGAUUGCAACAUUGAGAAGUGUGCUGAAAGCGAACAAAGCUACUGCAGAGUUUGCAUUAGCAAAUCUGAAACAAAAGUAUGAAAAUGAAAAGGUUAUUGUAACUGAGACAAUGAUGAAAUUAAGAAAUGAACUUAAAGCCCUGAAGGAGGAUGCAGCCACAUUUGCUUCUCUGCGAGCUAUGUUCGCCCAGCGAUGUGACGAGUAUGUUACCCAACUGGAUGAGUACCAGAGGCAACUUGCAGCAGCUGAGGAAGAAAAGAAGACAUUGAACUCUUUACUGAGAAUGGCAAUACAACAAAAGCUAGCCUUGACCCAACGACUGGAGGACAUGGAAUUUGAUCGUGAGAGGCGAACUAUGAGACGUCCACAAGGGGGUGGGGGAGGAAGAAACAAAUCAGGGGCUUCAAAAGUAAGUCACUACAAUGAUGAACAGUCAUAUAGUGGUCGCUAUGGGGGAGGCAGGCACCAAAACUAUCAAACCCAUCAUAGUUAUUCAAAUCCACGAAGAGAUUAUUAGGGCGCUGGUCCUCCAUCCUUGCGACGGCGGGUUCUUUUGUUUUCGGUUUUAGAUGCAAUACAACAUGCCUUUGACUGAGAGCUCAGUCCAUUGAGUGACCACCAGUAUGGAAUCUAGCAAUGGCUUCUUGUAAUUGCUGACCCAUUCGGCGACCCAUUCAGCUUGUGUCAACCAUGGCCUGCUUGUUGCACAUGUGUCAUACCAAAGAGUUCACAGAUGUUCCAGUCAUGACCUUGGCCCAGAUCAAAGGUCAAGGUCGCUGUUUGCCAUAUUGAUAUUACAUGUGAUAUUUAUAUAUCUCAUUCAAACUUAGAAAUAGUACUGUUUAUCUCCUGAAAUUUUGUCCAAGGGGAGAUGUGCCAGUAAUAUGCUGCUACCUUUUACAGUGAACCUGUGUUUGCAUUGUCAUAUUAAUGGAAUUAUUAUCCUGUAUUAAGGAUCCAAGAGACAAAAUUGAUAUUGGUAACCAUAGCAACACAGUUCAGACUGGGGUAGCAGCGAAGUGAGCCAGUAUCAAGGUCAUGUUGACCUUUUAGAAAACAUUAAAAUAUAUAUAUAUAUAUAUAUAUAUCAUAGCAUUGCAUGACAUUUUGUAUAUAUUGAUGUGGGAGAAAUAUUAUAGUGACUUUACCAAUGUUUAACAGCAAAUCAGUGUUAGCUCCUGUCACUAAAUGUUUAGCUAUCUGUGAUGAUCUAUUGUCUAUAGCAACUGUUUUACUGUAGAAAUGUUACAUUAUGUUCAGAUUUUAUAUUCAAAGAAACAAUCUUUAUAAUCUAAUACUUUAUGUUUAAGUCACUUUGGUCAUUAUUUUAUAGUUUGAUUAUUUUUUUUAAUGAUGAUAUAUUGACAACUUUAACGUAAAACGUUUAAUGAAAAUAUUUAUUUAUAGAGAUUUGGUUGAAGUCUAUGGUUAUCUCAUUUUAAAUAGUUUUAUUUUAGUUUGGUGCUUGUAUUUUACUUUGUUUUUACUAUCAGCUGGGCUGUGUAUUUUAAGCUGCUUGUUAAUAUUGUAUAAGUCAUUUAUUGAGAUUGAUAUGUUUUCAAAUUGAACUUAAUCAUGAUAACCUUUAAAUCUUGUAUUGGUUAUACAUUAAACAGGCCAUUGAGAGCUUUAGCCUAUUUCUUAAGAAUUCUUUACUGGUGUUCAAUUUUGCAUGUCAUGGGUUUGGUGUUAAAGUGUGCUAUUUGGUAUAAAGAAUCUUUAAUUAGAUAGCACAGUUUUUCACUCAACCUAUGCUAUACAGGGAACUGAAAGUGUUCAUUGUUUGAUGUAUUUAAUGAUCAAAGUAAUAUGAGCUUACUCCACUGUUAUGUAGUUAUCCAAUUAAUUCUUGAUUUAGCAAUCUGCCUACCUCAUGCAGUGUUUAAUGAGACUUAUGAGUUGUAUUCUAUUGUUGGUAAUUUCUUUUGAAAUUUGAGUUAAUUGUUACAACAUGUUUCUGGUACAAGAAUGCAUGAAGAUCAAAUUUUUGAUUUCUAGAAUAAAUAUUUUAGUAGAAUUUUUAACUAAAUUGAUGUUAAAGUGGCCUGUGUAUAUCGGCUUUAGACUUGUAAAGUAAAUGUAUUACCUAUGCUUAUUCUGGGUUUUAAUUGUAUGAAUUUAGUUGGUAUAUAUUUAUUAUUUAUUUAUAACAUUAGUUGUAGAUUUUACUUCAACAUUGAUUCCUUCCUUUUACUUUGUUUUCUGCUACAUGCUUAAACUGUAACAAAAUAUUUUGACAACAUUUUUAUCAAUAUCUUCCUUAUUGAUACUACUUAAAAGUUCUAUAAAAAAUAUUCAAAUAUAGCGUCAUUUUUGUAUGUUUAUAUUCCUUAGAUGUAAAAGUUUUGUGUACUUGUGGGUGGCAAAUUAAUGUCGCAGGAAAAUGCAUUUAUAAUAAAUAAUUUUAAACAAUUGUACAUAAUUUUAUUUACCUUGGGGAAAGUCCUUGGUUUGUAUGGUUUAAAUCGAAAAGGUUGGAAUCACAGUUUUAUUAACUGGUUUAACAUUAGUUUUACAUCCAGGAUAUAUUUUACAAAUGGUGAAUGCAUUUUAAAGGCUUUUGUAUUCUGUUUGCAUGGACUGAAGUGUUGAGAACUGUUUUUAAGUCAUUCAUUUGAUAUGUGUAUAUUCAUUGUUUGUCCAUUAUGUGUCGAACAAAGAAACAAAAUUAA